GCAAGUCGAGCGGUAGCACAGAGAGCUUGCUCUCGGGUGACGAGCGGCGGACGGGUGAGUAAUGUCUGGGAAACUGCCUGAUGGAGGGGGAUAACUACUGGAAACGGUAGCUAAUACCGCAUAAUGUCGCAAGACCAAAGUGGGGGACCUUCGGGCCUCAUGCCAUCAGAUGUGCCCAGAUGGGAUUAGCUAGUAGGUGGGGUAACGGCUCACCUAGGCGACGAUCCCUAGCUGGUCUGAGAGGAUGACCAGCCACACUGGAACUGAGACACGGUCCAGACUCCUACGGGAGGCAGCAGUGGGGAAUAUUGCACAAUGGGCGCAAGCCUGAUGCAGCCAUGCCGCGUGUGUGAAGAAGGCCUUCGGGUUGUAAAGCACUUUCAGCGGGGAGGAAGGCGGUGAGGUUAAUAACCUUAUCGAUUGACGUUACCCGCAGAAGAAGCACCGGCUAAAUCCGUGCCAGCAGCCGCGGUAAUACGGAGGGUGCAAGCGUUAAUCGGAAUUACUGGGCGUAAAGCGCACGCAGGCGGUCUGUCAAGUCGGAUGUGAAAUCCCCGGGCUCAACCUGGGAACUGCAUUCGAAACUGGCAGGCUAGAGUCUUGUAGAGGGGGGUAGAAUUCCAGGUGUAGCGGUGAAAUGCGUAGAGAUCUGGAGGAAUACCGGUGGCGAAGGCGGCCCCCUGGACAAAGACUGACGCUCAGGUGCGAAAGCGUGGGGAGCAAACAGGAUUAGAUACCCUGGUAGUCCACGCCGUAAACGAUGUCGAUUUGGAGGUUGUGCCCUUGAGGCGUGGCUUCCGGAGCUAACGCGUUAAAUCGACCGCCUGGGGAGUACGGCCGCAAGGUUAAAACUCAAAUGAAUUGACGGGGGCCCGCACAAGCGGUGGAGCAUGUGGUUUAAUUCGAUGCAACGCGAAGAACCUUACCUGGUCUUGACAUCCACAGAACUUUCCAGAGAUGGAUUGGUGCCUUCGGGAACUGUGAGACAGGUGCUGCAUGGCUGUCGUCAGCUCGUGUUGUGAAAUGUUGGGUUAAGUCCCGCAACGAGCGCAACCCUUAUCCUUUGUUGCCAGCGGUUAGGCCGGGAACUCAAAGGAGACUGCCAGUGAUAAACUGGAGGAAGGUGGGGAUGACGUCAAGUCAUCAUGGCCCUUACGACCAGGGCUACACACGUGCUACAAUGGCAUAUACAAAGAGAAGCGACCUCGCGAGAGCAAGCGGACCUCAUAAAGUAUGUCGUAGUCCGGAUUGGAGUCUGCAACUCGACUCCAUGAAGUCGGAAUCGCUAGUAAUCGUAGAUCAGAAUGCUACGGUGAAUACGUUCCCGGGCCUUGUACACACCGCCCGUCACACCAUGGGAGUGGGUUGCAAAAGAAGUAGGUAGCUUAACCUUCGGGAGGGCGC
rnacentral:rRNA from 1 species